rnacentral:rRNA from 1 species
AUGCACGCUGGCGGCGUGCCUAAUACAUGCCAGUCGAGCGAACAGACGAGCAGCUUGCUCCUCUGACGUUAGCGGCGGACGGGUGAGUAACACGUGGAUAACCUACCUAUAAGACUGGGAUAACUUCGGGAAACCGGAGCUAAUACCGGAUAAUAUAUUGAACCGCAUGGUUCAAUAGUGAAAGACGGUUUUGCUGUCACUUAUAGAUGGAUCCGCGCCGCAUUAGCUAGUUGGUAAGGUAACGGCUUACCAAGGCAACGAUGCGUAGCCGACCUGAGAGGGUGAUCGGCCACACUGGAACUGAGACACGGUCCAGACUCCUACGGGAGGCAGCAGUAGGGAAUCGUCCGCAAUGGGAAAGCCUGACGGAGCAACGCCGCGUGAGUGAUGAAGGUCUUCGGAUCGUAAAACUCUGUUAUUAGGGAAGAACAAAUGUGUAAGUAACUAUGCACGUCUUGACGGUACCUAAUCAGAAAGCCACGGCUAACUACGUG